rnacentral:rRNA from 1 species
ACGGAAGGCAGCAGUGGGGAAUAUUGCGCAAUGGGGGCAACCCUGACGCAGCAACGCCGCGUGAAGGAAGAAGUAUUUCGGUAUGUAAAGCUCUAUCAGCAGGGAAGAAAAUGACGGUACCUGACUAAGAAGCCCCGGCUAACUACGUGCCAGCAGCCGCGGUAAUACGUAGGGGGCAAGCGUUAUCCGGAUUUACUGGGUGUAAAGGGAGCGUAGACGGCAAGGUAAGUCUGAAGUGAAAUGCCGGGGCUCAACCCCGGAACUGCUUUGGAAACUAUCCCGCUCGAGUACCGGAGGGGUAAGCGGAAUUCCUAGUGUAGCGGUGAAAUGCGUAGAUAUUAGGAGGAACACCAGUGGCGAAGGCGGCUUACUGGACGGUAACUGACGUUGAGGCUCGAAAGCGUGGGGAGCAAACAGGAUUAGAUACCCUGGUA